rnacentral:rRNA from 1 species
GCUGGCCUCUCGCGAGGCAUGUGCACGCCUGGCUCAUCCACUCUUCAACCUCUGUGCACUUUUUGUAGGUCGGCGGAAGGGUAAAAGUCUCUUAACCGGGGCCCUUGCUUGGAAGCCUUCCUAUGUCUUUACAAACGCUUCAGUUUAAGAAUGUAUCUCUGCGUAUAACGCAUUUAUAUACAACUUUCAGCAACGGAUCUCUUGGCUCUCGCAUCGAUGAAGAACGCAGCGAAAUGCGAUAAGUAAUGUGAAUUGCAGAAUUCAGUGAAUCAUCGAAUCUUUGAACGCACCUUGCGCUCCCUGGUAUUCCGGGGAGCAUGCCUGUUUGAGUGUCAUGGUAUCCUCAACCUUCAUAACUUUUUUGUUAUCGAAGGCUUGGACUUGGAGGUUGUGCUGGCUUCUCGUUGAGUCGGCUCCUCUGAAAUGCAUUAGCGUGAGUGUAACGGAUCGCUUCGGUGUGAUAAUUAUCUGCGCCGUAGUCGUGAAGUAACAUAAGCUUGCGCUUCUAACCGUCCUUCAGCUGGACAAUUACUUUGACAUCUGACCUCAAAUCAGGUAGGACUACCCGCUGAACUUAAGCAUAUCAAUAAGCGGAGGA